UAAUACUCCAUAGAUUAGAGACACUGGAAUGUUCUUUAGUCGAAAGUUCUGGCGCCUUAGGAUGGAUCUGCGGUCGAUUAGGUUGUUGUUGGGGUAACGGCCCAACAAGCCUGUAAUCGAUACGGGUUGUGGGAGCAAGAGCCCGGAGAUGGAAUCUGAGACACGAUUCCAGGCCCUACGGGGCGCAGCAGGCGCGAAAACUUUACAAUGCAGGAAACUGUGAUAAGGGAACUCCGAGUGCCCGUAUACGCGGGCUGUCCAGGUGUUUAAAAAUCAUCUGAAGAAAGGGCCGGGCAAGACCGGUGCCAGCCGCCGCGGUAAUACCGGCGGCUCGAGUGGUGGCCACUAUUAUUGGGCUUAAAGCGUCCGUAGCUGGACCGAUAAGUCUCUUGGGAAAUCCGCCGGCUCAACCGGCGGGCGUCUAAGGGAUACUGUUAGUCUAGGGACCGGGAGAGGUGAGAGGUACUCCGGGGGUAGGAGUGAAAUCCUGUAAUCCCCGGGGGACCACCGAUGGCGAAGGCAUCUCACCAGAACGGCUCCGACAGUGAGGGACGAAAGCUGGGGGAGCGAACCGGAUUAGAUACCCGGGUAUUCCCAGCCGUAAACUAUGCGCGUUAGGUGU
rnacentral:rRNA from 1 species